rnacentral:rRNA from 1 species
GAUGAACGCUAGCUACAGGCUUAACACAUGCAAGUCGAGGGGUAGCAGGGUAGCAAUACCGCUGACGACCGGCGCACGGGUGAGUAACACGUAUCCAACCUUCCCAUAACUCGGGGAUAGCCUUUCGAAAGAAAGAUUAAUACCCGAUAGUACUUUAUUAAGGCAUCUUAAGAAAGUUAAAGAUUUAUUGGUUAUGGAUGGGGAUGCGUUCCAUUAGAUAGUUGGUGAGGUAACGGCUCACCAAGUCUUCGAUGGAUAGGGGUUCUGAGAGGAAGGUCCCCCACAUUGGUGCUGAGACACGGACCAAACUCCUACGGGAGGCAGCAGUGAGGAAUAUUGGUCAAUGGGCGAGAGCCUGAACCAGCCAAGUAGCGUGAAGGAUGGAGGUCCUAUGGAUUGUAAACUUCUUUUAUAGUAGAAUAAAGUGAACCACGUGUGGUUUUUUGUAUGUAUACUAUGAAUAAGGAUCGGCUAACUCCGUGUCAGCAGCCGCCGUAA